rnacentral:rRNA from 1 species
UCCUACGGGAGGCAGCAGUGGGGAAUAUUGCACAAUGGGGGAAACCCUGAUGCAGCGACGCCGCGUGAGUGAGGAAGUAUUUCGGUAUGUAAAGCUCUAUCAGCAGGGAAGAAAAUGACGGUACCUGACUAAGAAGCCCCGGCUAACUACGUGCCAGCAGCCGCGGUAAUACGUAGGGGGCAAGCGUUAUCCGGAUUUACUGGGUGUAAAGGGAGCGUAGACGGCGGAGCAAGUCUGAUGUGAAAUUCCGGGGCCCAACCCCGGAACUGCUUUGGAAACUGUUUAUCUAGAG